AUGAACGCUAGCUACAGGCUUAACACAUGCAAGUCGAGGGGCAGCAUGGUCUUAGCUUGCUAAGGCCGAUGGCGACCGGCGCACGGGUGAGUAACACGUAUCCAACCUGCCGUCUACUCUUGGACAGCCUUCUGAAAGGAAGAUUAAUACAAGAUGGCAUCAUGAGUCCGCAUGUUCACAUGAUUAAAGGUAUUCCGGUAGACGAUGGGGAUGCGUUCCAUUAGAUAGUAGGCGGGGUAACGGCCCACCUAGUCUUCGAUGGAUAGGGGUUCUGAGAGGAAGGUCCCCCACAUUGGAACUGAGACACGGUCCAAACUCCUACGGGAGGCAGCAGUGAGGAAUAUUGGUCAAUGGGCGAGAGCCUGAACCAGCCAAGUAGCGUGAAGGAUGACUGCCCUAUGGGUUGUAAACUUCUUUUAUAAAGGAAUAAAGUCGGGUAUGCAUACCCGUUUGCAUGUACUUUAUGAAUAAGGAUCGGCUAACUCCGUGCCAGCAGCCGCGGUAAUACGGAGGAUCCGAGCGUUAUCCGGAUUUAUUGGGUUUAAAGGGAGCGUAGAUGGAUGUUUAAGUCAGUUGUGAAAGUUUGCGGCUCAACCGUAAAAUUGCAGUUGAUACUGGAUAUCUUGAGUGCAGUUGAGGCAGGCGGAAUUCGUGGUGUAGCGGUGAAAUGCUUAGAUAUCACGAAGAACUCCGAUUGCGAAGGCAGCCUGCUAAGCUGCAACUGACAUUGAGGCUCGAAAGUGUGGGUAUCAAACAGGAUUAGAUACCCUGGUAGUCCACACGGUAAACGAUGAAUACUCGCUGUUUGCGAUAUACGGCAAGCGGCCAAGCGAAAGCGUUAAGUAUUCCACCUGGGGAGUACGCCGGCAACGGUGAAACUCAAAGGAAUUGACGGGGGCCCGCACAAGCGGAGGAACAUGUGGUUUAAUUCGAUGAUACGCGAGGAACCUUACCCGGGCUUAAAUUGCAGAUGAAUUACGGUGAAAGCCGUAAGCCGCAAGGCAUCUGUGAAGGUGCUGCAUGGUUGUCGUCAGCUCGUGCCGUGAGGUGUCGGCUUAAGUGCCAUAACGAGCGCAACCCUUGUUGUCAGUUACUAACAGGUUCCGCUGAGGACUCUGACAAGACUGCCAUCGUAAGAUGUGAGGAAGGUGGGGAUGACGUCAAAUCAGCACGGCCCUUACGUCCGGGGCUACACACGUGUUACAAUGGGGGGUACAGAGGGCCGCUACCACGCGAGUGGAUGCCAAUCCCCAAAACCUCUCUCAGUUCGGACUGGAGUCUGCAACCCGACUCCACGAAGCUGGAUUCGCUAGUAAUCGCGCAUCAGCCACGGCGCGGUGAAUACGUUCCCGGGCCUUGUACACACCGCCCGUCAAGCCAUGGGAGCCGGGGGUACCUGAAGUGCGUAACCGCGAGGAGCGCCCUAGGGUAAAACUGGUGACUGGGGCU
rnacentral:rRNA from 1 species